AAUACUAUGGCUGAAAUUAGAGGCGGUAAAUUGUAAAUUUAUUAAUGAAAUAUUUUUUCUAGUAUUA
rnacentral:tRNA from 3 species